GACGACGCUGGCGGCGUGCUUAAAACAUGCAAGUCGAACGGACUUCUCAUGAAGCUUGCGAUUGAGAAGUUAGUGGCGGACGGGUGAGUAACGCGUGGGCAACCUGCCCCUGAGCCCGGGAUAACAGUUCGAAAGGACUGCUAAGACCGGAUAUACUUGCGGUGAAGCAUUUCACUGCAAGGAAAGGGAACGCUCAGGGAUGGGCCCGCGUCCCAUUAGCUAGUUGGUGAGGUAACGGCCCACCAAGGCGACGAUGGGUAGCCGGCCUGAGAGGGUGAACGGCCACACUGGGACUGAGACACGGCCCAGACUCCUACGGGAGGCAGCAGUUGGGAAUCUUCGGCAAUGGGCGCAAGCCUGACCGAGCAACGCCGCGUGAGUGAUGAAGGUUUUCGGAUUGUAAAGCUCUGUCUUCCGGGACGAUAAUGACGGUACCAGAGGAGGAAGCCACGGCUAACUACGUG
rnacentral:rRNA from 1 species